GCCCAGAUGGCGGAAUAGGUAGACGCAAGGGACUUAAAAUCCCUCGGUAGUAAUAUCGUGCUGGUUCAAGUCCAGUUCUGGGCACCA
rnacentral:tRNA from 1 species